rnacentral:rRNA from 1 species
ACUCCUACGGGAGGCAGCAGUGGGGAAUAUUGCACAAUGGGCGCAAGCCUGAUGCAGCCAUGCCGCGUGUAUGAAGAAGGCCUUCGGGUUGUAAAGUACUUUCAGCGGGGAGGAAGGCGAUAAGGUUAAUAACCUUGUUGAUUGACGUUACCCGCAGAAGAAGCACCGGCUAACUCCGUGCCAGCAGCCGCGGUAAUACGGAGGGUGCAAGCGUUAAUCGGAAUUACUGGGCGUAAAGCGCACGCAGGCGGUCUGUCAAGUCGGAUGUGAAAUCCCCGGGCUCAACCUGGGAACUGCAUUCGAAACUGGCAGGCUAGAGUCUUGUAGAGGGGGGUAGAAUUCCAGGUGUAGCGGUGAAAUGCGUAGAGAUCUGGAGGAAUACCGGUGGCGAAGGCGGCCCCCUGGACAAAGACUGACGCUCAGGUGCGAAAGCAUGGGGAGCAAACAGGAUUAGAAACCCCGGUAGUCCCAU